GGCGGCGGCGGCGGCGGCGGCGGGGGGCAACUCCGGGCAGAGCGGCGGCGGCGGCGGCGGCGCGCGUGCGCAGAAGCGCGUCUAGGAGGAUGAAUCCAGGCACGGAGAUCCGGAAGCCGCUGCGGGCCAGGAAGACGAUGGCGGUGAGCAGCCGGAAGCAGGUGGAGCACCUGAGCAAAAUGAAGGCUGUCCAGGCUGGAGAAGGGGCCGCGCGCCAAGGGAGGCCGGCGGGAGCCAGGGGGCUGUGUCCGGGGGCCCAGGAAGAGCUCCACGGCAGGGAGGCUGCAGCCGGACAGGAGCCGCUGCAGGCCAAGGAGCCCCUGCCCAGCUUGCUGGUGAACUCCGAAAUCAGCAUUUACAAGGACCCCCAGGAAAUGCUCCAGCACCUCCCGACGCCAGACGUCAAGCAGUUCUUGAAUAACAGCACGUUGCCGGACAUCCUUUGGUACUGGUACAAAAAGGAAUCCGGCUCCCCCUCGUUGAAGCGGGCCGAAGCAUCCCUGGAAUCGGGGCCGGCUGGGCAGCUUCUAGAUCAGCUUCCGGGAGCCUCUUCCACACACGAAAACGCCGCCGUAGACGCAGCAGCCAAAACACCAGCCUGCCAGGCCCUCCCAGCACUGCACUGGGAAGAAAGCCGCUUCGGGGUGCCUGAAAGAGACGGGGUGCCCACAGUGUCCCUGGGAGACGGUCAGAGGAAGAGGACGAUGUCCAGCAACAGCGAGGAAGACGAAGGCCUCUCCAAGCGCAGCAAAGCCUCCGAGGACCCCGCGGAGGGGACCACCCCAGCCGUGGAGAGAGCGGAGUCCGGGCUGGGAAAGGUAAGGGGGCCUGCGGCUGGCAGGGACGUUGGCCCUUCCGAACGCUGCCCGUCUGGCACAGGAGCCGCUCGCAAGCGCUGCUUCCCGCGGGGCCCAAAGGUCCUGCGGCUGCGGCUUGUAGACUUGUCGGCAGUCGCUCUGUGUGGUUGGAGCUCUACCUGUUAGCCGUCCAUAACCGCUCUUUUUGUCUUGAUAGCUUGCUUCAGGCCCACCUCGGGCUGGAAAAGUCCACAGGUAAUGCUGCAUGGGGCAUUGCAUUAGUGGGGCGGGGGGGGAGGUCUCGCUCCAGCUUCAUCCCAGGGAGGUUCAACCGAGAGCAGCCCCCACCUGCCCUUCCUGGCUUAUCUGCCUGCGAUUCUGCCACAGGGAAGCAACGGCUUCGUUACAACAUCUGGAGAAGGGUAGAAACAUCAUCCUCUGCCUCCAAAGCACAAGUUGCAUCAACUCGAUUCCCCCCAUUUCUGUCCCUUUUGCAUUCUGGAAACCCACCGACGGGCAGCUUUAAAAGCAAGCACGGAGGGCCAGCCCAGAGUCCCCGGGGCGGGGUGGGGGGCAGCGGGCCCUCUGCCCUUCAGGUCCUUGGUGGCCUUUGUGACUCGCUUUGGGCUGAGCAGCAGGGAUGCUGAGAUUGGGGAGGGGGCUCGAUGGAAUCAGCUGGAAAGGCAACAGUUAGAAACAUUUCACAAUAAACGCAUCCAUCAUGCACGUAUGUCUCA
rnacentral:lncRNA from 1 species